rnacentral:lncRNA from 1 species
GGCUGCGCUGAAUUCCACCAAUUGAAUCUGUAGCCUUUUAUGAGGAUUUGCUUAAUAUAGUGCAUUUGUUCUGCUGGCUGAUGAUCAGAGUGAGGAUCCCUUGAUUUGAUUCAAUGGCAGUGUUAUGUAUUAGUAGCAUGAACAGGAAGCAGCUGGCGUCCUGUUCAGAAAACAAUCUCAGUUUUUAUUGCAGAGAGCAAUAUUGAAAAACACUGUAUGUGCAUGAGGGGCCUAAUCCUUAAAAAUGUGGGAGUUGAGAUACAGUCCCUUUUCACUGACCAGUCACUUCUGAACUAUUGGUCUCAAUUUGCCUCUCUUCACAGAAAGCUGUUCUGGUGUCAAUUCUUUGGAAUACAGAGAAAACUAGCUCAAGCCCUGAAAUGGCUAUUUUGCACCUGUCUGCCACCUCAUCUGUCUGCUCCUGUCUGCCAUAUGAAGACGUGCUGUCUUACUAGCAAAGUAUCUGUGCUAGAAUAUGGAUUUAAUAACAGGGGUUUACUUCACUGUGACAAUCAAAGACGUUGGUGGGUACCUGCUACUGGAAAAGCUGCUUCUGGCCAAGAGCAAGCUGGUGGACUCAGAAACUUUCACAGAGCUGGACUGAGGCUGUGGAAUUCACAAAAGAUUAGGGAACCUAUGGAGAUUCCAGGAAGGCCAAAGAAUUUGUCACAGGAAGAAGAGCCUACAGAGAAAAACUGUAGCACCAUAAGAGGCAGUGCUUUCCCUAAUGUCAAAAUUGACUCUCAGAAAGAAAAAGGUGAAUGAAUUGCAACAUAGAAAUUCUGUCCAAGAUGGUCAUAGAUGCUGCUCUGAGCCACAGGAUGAAGGAAUAGAAAACAACACCCAACUUCACACAAAAUGAAAGUAGUCUAUGACACCUCUUUUGAAUGAGCCUAAUCUCCCAGAAACACACUACUGAAAAAAAGAAAGGGAAAUAAUACUUAGCGAUUUUGUGUGGGCUCAGAAAUGAAGAAGCCUUGAUGUGGCCAUUGUCAGCUAUUCUGACGG